GAUGAACGCUGGCGGCGUGCCUAACACAUGCCAGUCGAACGGAAAGACCAUGAGCUUGUUCCUUUACCGUUAGCGGCGGGCGGGUGUGUAACGCGUGGAUCACAUACUUCUAUUUCGGGGAUAAUUACGUAACACCGGAUAUAAUACCAGAGAAUAUAUUGAACCGCAGGGUGCAAUGGAGAUUGACGGCUUUGGUGUCUGUAAUAGCUGAUUCCGCGCCGCAUUAGCUAGUUGGUAAGGUAACGGCAUACCAAGGCUACGAUGCGUAGCCGAGCUGAGAGGGUGAUCGGCCACACUGGAACUGAGACACGGUCCAGACUCCUACGGGAGGCAGCAGUAGGGAAUCUUCGGCAAUGGGCGAAAGCCUGACGCAGCAACGCCGCGUGAGUGAUGAAGGCCUUCGGGUCGUAAAACCCUUUUGUUGGGGAAGAACAGCUGUGGAAUAAGAUAUGGCCGUCUUGACGGUACCUAAUGAAAAAGCAACGGCUAACUACGUG
rnacentral:rRNA from 1 species